rnacentral:tRNA from 3 species
GGGCCCGUGGCGCAGCCUGGUAGCGCGUUCGGCUGAUAACCGGAAGGUCAAGGGUUCGAAGCCCUUCGGGCCCA